GACGAACGCUGGCGGCGUGCUUAACACAUGCAAGUCGAACGGAAAGGCCCUGCUUUUGUUGUGGGCUCGAGUUACUAACGUGUGGAUAACGCGUGAAUAACCUGCCCGUUACGUUGGUAAAACGUCAGUAAACUUGGGCAAAUACCGGAUAUUAGCUCCUGGUGCAUAGGGGGGUUUGGAAAGUUUCGGCGGUUGGUGAUGUACUCGCGGCUGAUCAGCUUGUUGGUGGGGUAGUUGCUUACGAAGGCGUUGACGGAUAGCCGGCCGGCGAGGGUGACCGGCGACACUGGCAAUGCUACUAGGGCAAGCAUCCUACGGGAGGCAGCCGCGGGGAAUAUUGCACAAUGGGAGGAAGCCUGCUGCAGCAAUGCCGCGUGCGGGAUGAUGGCCUCCUGGUUGCAACCAGCUUUCGCCCGUGAUGAAGCGUGAGUGACGGUAAUGGGUAAAGAAGCACCGGCUAACUACGUG
rnacentral:rRNA from 1 species